rnacentral:sRNA from 1 species
UUUUUUUUUUAAACACAUCCCAACCCAAAGUAUAAGCGCCCACCUAGUCCUAUCUAGUCCGAAAAAUGCGAACUAGAACUACAUGAGACACUAUCUCUGUCGUUACGAACCUAACACUUUCUACCAAGCUUAAUCGGUAAGACCUCACAAACACUCACAAGUGAUAUAGGGCUUGAAAGAAAGUCUAGGUUUGGGUUUGGGUUAAUUGCUCUAAUAAGGAGAGUCAGCUACUUGGAUUAACAAGAGUGAUCAAAAUGAAUAAGAAAAUCCAAGUAUUUUAGGGUAUCCAUGAGUUCAAAUUUGAUGCAGACAUGAUAAUUAAAGAUCAGAUUCAGGUUCAAAAUGAUAGGGAAUGGUAUCAAAUCAUGACAGUGUGGUCGAGUAGAGCAAUCUAGGCAUGGUUCAGUUUUAUUUCAAAUUCAUUGGCUACGCAACAGACAACUAGCAACGAGGACACUGAGUUUAUCCGGUGAACCAAAAUGCUUACAAGGCUAUCUCAUCAUUAUCCCCUAUGCAUAUGCAACAAUCCUAAAUGAAACACUCUAGACUCGAUCUUAAAUGUAAUGCAACUACAUGAACACUCUUUUUUUUGU